CCACACAGCGCCAUGGGCUCCUGGUUCAGUAGCGAAUACAAUCCUGGAGACCUGAUUGAGAUUUUCCGUGUUGGCUACCAGCACUGGGCGCUCUACGUGGGAGGUGGCUACGUGAUCCAUCUGGCUCCUCUAAAUGGGUUCCCCUCAGCUGACUCCAUCAUGAUCGCCUCCGGUAUGACUGUCAGGGG